CAAUAGCGUAUAUUAAAGUUGUUGCGGUUAAAAAGCUCGUAGUUGGAUUUCUGCUGAGAACGACCGGUCCGCCCUUUGGGUGUGUAUCUGGCUCUUUCUUGGCAUCUUCUUGGUGAACGUUGCUGCACUUGACUGUGUGGAGCGCUACCCAGGACUUUUACUUUGAGGAAAUUAGAGUGUUUCAAGCAGGCAUACGCCUUGAAUACAUUAGCAUGGAAUAAUAAGAUAGGACCUCGGUUCUAUUUUGUUGGUUUCUAGAGCUGAGGUAAUGAUUAAUAGGGAUAGUUGGGGGCAUUCGUAUUUAACUGUCAGAGGUGAGAUUCUUGGAUUUGUUAAAGACGGACUACUGCGAANGNAUUUGCNAAGGAUGUUUNCAUUG
rnacentral:rRNA from 1 species